rnacentral:lncRNA from 1 species
AGUAGCUCUCUAGGCCUAGGUACCGGUGGGAGGGAGGCUGGCGGAGGGGGAGACAGCACCCCCAGUUUUGUUUUGUUUUGUUUUGUUUUGUUUUGUUUUUUGCCCAGACUGUUUGUCUAGGGAAACUCGGACCCCCAGGCCCUCCUUUUCCCUUACAGCAGUGUUCUUCGUCCACUCCUGACCGACAGCACAGCCAGGGCCUUCUAUUUCAACACCUCUUCCCAGCGACCUGGUCAGGUGUGGCCAGUGUAAGCAAGAGCCCAGUGAAGUUGCCUAAGCCCAAGGGCAUGGUAUAACUCACACAGAGCACAACCCUACUUGGAAUGGACAGUUUGUGGCUUUAGAAUCUUCAUGAACAUGUGCAACUGUCGUCACAGUCUAUUUAAUAAUUUUGAGUCCUCAGAGAGCAGCCUCCUGCCCACAGGUGACCAAGUCCUUAUCCUUAAUAACCCUUCUAACUGAGCAGUCAACGAGCUGCCCUCUACCUAUUCAGGACUGCCCAGGAAUGGCUUCAUGCAGUAGGUGGCCUUCUGUGAUUGGCUCCUUUUCCUUGGUUCUAAUGCAUUGCCGUGUCAAAGCACACACCCAUCCUUGUUCCUUUUCAUGGAUGAGUUACUUCAAUGGUAGACAGACCACCUACCGGGUAUGUGUUCAUCAGUACAUGUGCAUUUGGGUUGUUCCCAUGUCCAGACAUUAUGAUUUUCUAUGUCUCUAGACAGUUUGAAUCAU